rnacentral:rRNA from 1 species
UACGUAGGCAGCAAACGUUGUUCGGAAUUAUUGGGCGUAAAGAGUGUGUAGGCGGUUUUGUAAGUUUGGUGUGAAAUCUCCCGGCUUAACUGGGAGGGUGCGCCGAAUACUGCAAGACUUGAGUACUGGAGAGGAUAGCGGAAUUCCUGGUGUAGCGGUGAAAUGCGUAGAUAUCAGGAGGAACACCGGCGGUGUAGACGGCUAUCUGGACAGUCACUGACGCUGAGACACGAAAGCGUGGGUAGCAAACAGG